rnacentral:lncRNA from 1 species
CUGAGGAAGCCGAGAACUCGCCACUAGGAUUAUUAAGCAUUGCGGAAGGUUGGGGUCCUGCAGAUGAAAGCAAUGAAACGAGAAUGACCCCUGUGUAGGGGACCCUCUAGGGGGAAACUGGAAGCAAGAGGGGCCACGGGUGUGAAGCCAGGAGGGACGCCGCUGCCCCUGGAGGAAGCAGGGUGACAUCCUGUCUACUUGAAAAGAAAACUGAAAGUCCUGUCCUUCACGAGAAACUAUUGUGUUUUCCUAACCCACAGGUAUGCCAGAGUUUCUCUGGUCCAGAGUUGUGGGUGACAUAGGGGGAGCUGGGGGAGGGGCAGACAGGGGGGUGUGAAGGGAGUUUGGAUGGUUCCAUGGUCUGUGCUCUUUGUCUAAUUCAGGGAAGGUAGCAGCCUGCUGGAGCCCACCCCAAGGAUCCCUGUGCUAUAUGAUACAUGUCCUGGUGAGAGGUACCUCUUUUCUGGCUGUUAAAGUGCAUUCCUGUGUAGAUGUGGAAAGAGAGAAAGCACGCUAGAGCCAGAGCUAGGAUCGGAAUGUGAGCAUUUCCUUAAUUGGACACGAGUGCCUUGAACUGGCUCCAGUUUUAGUGUUUUCUUUCAAGAGCCUGGACCCUAAAGAUUCCAUAGAGUUUUCUUUCUCUAAAAAUCCCCUUGGUUCGAAGGCCCCUUGAUAGAAAUAAAGAAAAUGCCAGGGCCGAAUCUCUUUGAUAU